GUCUCAAGACUAAGCCAUGCAUGUCUAAGUAUAAGCGAUCUUAUACGGCGAAACUGCGAAUGGCUCAUUAAAUCAGUUAUAGUUUAUUUGAUGGUCUCUCACCACUUGGAUAACCGUGGUAAUUCUAGAGCUAAUACAUGCGUCGAGUCCCGACUGUCGCGGAAGGGAUGUAUUUAUUAGAUUCAAAACCAAUGCGGGGCYCCGGUCCCGGUCUUUUGGUGAUUCAUAGUAACUGUUCGGAGCGCAGGGCCUUAAGCGCCGGCGCCGGAUCAUUCAAGUUUCUGCCCUAUCAACUGUCGAUGGUAAGGUAUUGGCUUACCAUGGUUGCAACGGGUGACGGAGAAUUAGGGUUCGAUUCCGGAGAGGGAGCCUGAGAAACGGCCACCACAUCCAAGGAAGGCAGCAGGCGCGCAAAUUACCCAAUCCCGACACGGGGAGGUAGUGACAAUAAAUAACAAUACAGGGCUUUCGUAAGUCUUGUAAUUGGAAUGAGAACAAUUUAAAUCCCUUAACGAGGAACAAUUGGAGGGCAAGUCUGGUGCCAGCAGCCGCGGUAAUUCCAGCUCCAAUAGCGUAUAUUAAAGUUGUUGCAGUUAAAAAGCUCGUAGUUGGAUUUCGGCGGCGCGGCGUCGGUCCGCCUGGCGGCGUGUCACUGGCGCCGCGCGGCUUUCUCUCGAGGGCCGCGCGUGCUCUUGAGUGAGCGUGCGCGUUACUCGGGACGUUUACUUUGAAAAAAUUAGAGUGUUCAAAGCAGGCUUUGGGGCUUGAAUACAUUAGCAUGGAAUAAUGGAAUAGGACGUCGGUCCUGUUUUGUUGGUUUCCGGGACCGAGGUAAUGAUUAAUAGGGACAGUUGGGGGCAUUCGUAUUCAAUUGUCAGAGGUGAAAUUCUUGGAUUUAUGGAAGACGGACGCAUGCGAAAGCAUUUGCCAAGGAUGUUUUCGUUAAUCAAGAACGAAAGUUGGA
rnacentral:rRNA from 1 species